rnacentral:tRNA from 1 species
AGGAGUUUAGGCUAAAUCCAGACCAAGAGCCUUCAAAGCUCUAAGCAAGUACAACUCACUUAACUCCUG